GCGGACUUGUGGAAACCUGCAGGAUUAAGUUUGAGGGGGAGAUUUUGAUAGCACAGAAAUUAGAGAGUCUCACGCCCAUGUUUCAGGACUGCUUCCAAAGCAAAACACAUGCAUUCACUGAUGAAGGUCAAGUCAAGAGGCAAGCCGGCAAGCCGAGAAGAGCACUGUGUAUCGUUGUCAUCACUAAUCAUGUCAAAGACCUCAUGUCUUAUUCACUGCUCUUCCUGCAGACAGACUAGGAGAAGUGAAGCCUUGAUCUCACCAAGCUGCCGUCUGAACCACUCUUGAUGGAUUUCCAAAUUCUCAUAGACAACAGAAGGGUUUCGCAGAAGCUUUCUUUUUUGUGAGCUGUGCAAUAACUUGAAAAAAAGAUGUGUGAUUUCAUUAUUAUUUUGAGUGAUCAGCUUUUGUGUGGUCUAAAAAGACACACCAAACAUACAGAUGAGUUUAGAUUUUUUGCUUCAUUUAUAAGUUAAGCUGACAGAGAAAGUUAAAAGUGACAGAAUGUCUCUUUUACCCCCUCUCACACAGUGCACAGAAGCCAUUUGGUUUUUCAUUUGCUGAAUGGAACAGAGAGGCGUGUCUCUUUCAAGGGAGGAACACCUGUUCAACAGUCCCGUUUUCUAACCUUUUCUUUAUUUAUUACAAGGAUGCCUCUUGCCAGGGUUUUUAAAGCCAUAUAUCAACAGUAUAAUAUCGUUGUGGACCUGAUUCAUCAGCAUAGCUUGAAUUAUACCAAUGCAGACUUGGUGAUAAUUAGUUUUAUUUAAGAUCAAGACAAUAUUUACUAAUAAUAUAGCAAUGUGAAGUACCACUUAGAACUGCUGCCUGCAAUAAUUGAUUUAAAUGGUUAUUUAUACCACUGGAAUAGUGUUCAAAGUUCAUCUGUGCUGGUGC
ensembl:lncRNA